CCAGGACCACGAAACCCAUCACCCAGUACGACCUAUGUUUCCUACAACAGCAUUAUAUCUGGUUACUCGAUGAACACAAAUUUCACCCCUGCAAGAGAAUGUUUGAUAGAAUGCCCCCCAAAAAAUUAUUUUCCUGGAAUCUAAUGCUUAUUGGGUAUACCAGGAAUCCACUGUUGCUUUUGCUUUAAUCACUGUUUCAAACCCAUCUCCAACUAGUGAAAGAUUACCAGGUGAUCCUUCUUUGCAAUAUUUAAGAUUAAUAUUGAAAACACAACCCUUUAUAUUUGGAGUGUCUUUCGAUAGGACUAUCAUAACGGUAAAGGUGCUGUCUCUGGCAGUUCUGGAGUCACUUUUGUAGGAUUAGUUGCUAACUUGUUAUGUUUAUCAAUCAACAGAGAAGGGAAAAUGUAUUCGUUGACUGGGAGUUUUGUUGGGUUUAGAUGCACUUUUAUAAUUAAUGCACUUGGUUAUUAAUAGGAACGCUUUUGUAAUAUUUUUGUUAUAUACCCUGGCUGGGAGUUUGUUAUCGUGAUUAGAAACAUGAUGGGGG
rnacentral:lncRNA from 1 species